CCUCCGUAGCCAGCGCCGGUGACAAGCUUCCUUGUUUCUCAUUUCCCUCCCUUCUAAAGGACAACUGGUUCCGUUCUUUGUUAUAGUUCUCUGGAAAUUAUUAUGCAAUCGAACCACACUGUUUCCUAAAAGCAGGAACCGGGCAAGAGGCUGACCCUGGUUAUUUACGGAGUGCAGGAUGCCUUGGUGCUGUGAAACCAUCUACACCUGAAGGAAAGCAGUGCUGUCACUACUCAUUUCUAGGCCUUGGGCAGGCCCUAAAUUCUGUGUUGCAACCAGCAGCAAAGUAGGCUUACACACCACAAAGUCUCUCAGAAACCCCGGAAGAAGAUCCCAAGGAAGACACGCCACACCCCCAAG